rnacentral:ncRNA from 1 species
AGGGUGAGACCUGAUGCCGAGCCGAUUGUGGUGAAGUGGAUGAUCCUAUGCUGUCGAGAAAAGCCUCUAGCGAGUGCUGUUGCGGCCCGUACCCUAAACCGACUCAGGUGGUCUGGUAGAGAAUACCGAGGCGUUCGGGUGAACUAUGGUUAAGGAACUCGGCAAAAUGCCCCCGUAACUUCGGGAGAAGGGGGGCCACGGCCGGUGAACCCACGUGCUGGGGGAGCUGGUGGUGGCCGCAGAGACCAGCGAGAAGCGACUGUUUACUAAAAACACAGGUCCGUGCGAAGCCGUAAGGCGAUGUAUACGGACUGACGCCUGCCCGGUGCUGGAACGUUAAGGGGACCGGUUAGUCACAUUUCGGUGUGGCGAAGCUGAGAACUUAAGCGCCAGUAAACGGCGGUGGUAACUAUAACCAUCCUAAGGUAGCGAAAUUCCUUGUCGGGUAAGUUCCGACCUGCACGAAUGGCGUAACGACUUCUUGACUGUCUCAACCAUAGGCCCGGUGAAAUUGCACUACGAGUAAAGAUGCUCGUUUCGCGCAGCAGGACGGAAAGACCCCGGGACCUUUACUAUAGCUUGAUAUUGGUGUUCGGUUCGGUUUGUGUAGGAUAGGUGGGAGACUGUGAUAUUCGAGCGCCAGCUCGGGUGGAGUCGUUGUUGAAAUACCACUCUGAUCGUGCUGGAUGUCUAACCUGGGUCCGUGAUCCGGAUCAGGGACAGUGUCUGGUGGGUAGUUUAACUGGGGCGGUUGCCUCCUAAAGAGUAACGGAGGCGCCCAAAGGUUCCCUCAGCCUGGUUGGUCAUCAGGUGGUGAGUGUAAGUGCACAAGGGAGCUUGACUGUGAGACUGACGGGUCGAGCAGGGACGAAAGUCGGGACUAGUGAUCCGGCGGUGGCUUGUGGAAGCGCCGUCGCUCAACGGAUAAAAGGUACCCCGGGGAUAACAGGCUGAUCUUCCCCAAGAGUCCAUAUCGACGGGAUGGUUUGGCACCUCGAUGUCGGCUCGUCGCAUCCUGGGGCUGGAGUCGGUCCCAAGGGUUGGGCUGUUCGCCCAUUAAAGCGGUACGCGAGCUGGGUUUAGAACGUCGUGAGACAGUUCGGUCCCUAUCCGCUGCGCGCGUAGGAGUCUUGAGAAGGGCUGUCCCUAGUACGAGAGGACCGGGACGGACGGACCUCUGGUGUGCCAGUUGUUCUGCCAAGGGCAUGGCUGGUUGGCUACGUUCGGGAGGGAUAACCGCUGAAAGCAUCUAAGCGGGAAGCCUGCUUCGAGAUGAGGACUCCCACCCCCUGUGUGGGGUUAAGGCUCCCGGGAGA